UUUCGCAAUGCCCGAAAGGGUGACCGAGCGACGCCGCGUGUGGGAUGAAGGCUCUCGGGUUGUAAACCACUGUCAGGGGGGAAGAAGGCCCGAAUGGUGAAUUCGGGAGAGACGGUACCCCCAGAGGAAGCCCCGGCUAACUCCGUGCCAGCAGCCGCGGUAACACGGGGGGAGCAACCGUUGUUCGGAAUCAUUGGGCGUAAAGGGCACGUAGGCGGCUUGGCAAGUCCGUCGUGAAACCCCCGGGCUCACCCCGGGGCAUGCGUCGGAUACUGCCGGGCUUGAGUCCAGGAGAGGAGGGUGGAAUUCCCGGUGUAGCGGUGAAAUGCGUAGACAUCGGGAAGAACACCAGUGGCGAAGGCGGCCCUCUGGCCUGUGACUGACGCUGAGGUGCGAAAGCCAGGGGAGCAAACAGGAUUAGAUACCCUGGUAGUCCCGGCCGUAAACGAUGGGCACUAAGUAGAGGGGUUUUAAUCUC
rnacentral:rRNA from 1 species